UACGUAGGGUGCAAGCGUUGUCCGGAAUUACUGGGUGUAAAGGGUCCGUAGGUGGGUAAACAAGUCAAUGGUGAAAUCUCGCAGCUUAACUGCGAAACUGCCUUUGAUACUGUUUAUCUUGAGUGUGAGAGAGGAUGAUGGAAUUCAUGGUGUAGCGGUGAAAUGCGUAGAUAUCAUGAAGAACACCAGUUGCGAAGGCGAUCAUCUGGCUCAUAACUGACACUGAGGGACGAAAGCGUGGGGAGCAAACAGG
rnacentral:rRNA from 1 species